UCCGGUAUGGGUGCCAAAACAUAUAAGGUCUCCAUACCCCAUCCGGUAUGAGAGACCACGUUCCCGGUAGGGUUCCCUACGGACCCGGUCCAUCCACCAUCUCCAAGGAUAUCUAGUCAGGCUGUCCACAUUUUCUACUUAUCAAUUCACAUAACCUUUUUGCCUUUUUUUCUUAAUCUCAAUCAUCCAAUCAUACACAACAUGUAAACCAGUAAUUGACACCAAACAAGACAACACAGUAUCGGGUUCACCAUAAUACAAAACAUAAUAAA
rnacentral:lncRNA from 1 species